AUUGAACGCUGGCGGCAUGCCUUACACAUGCAAGUCGAACGGUAACAGGUCUUCGGAUGCUGACGAGUGGCGAACGGGAGAGUAAUACAUCGGAACGUGCCCGAUCGUGGGGGAUAACGAAGCGAAAGCUUUGCUAAUACCGCAUAAGAUCUACGGAUGAAAGCAGGGGACCGCAAGGCCUUGCGCGAACGGAGCGGCCGAUGGCAGAUUAGGUAGUUGGUGGGAUAAAAGCUUACCAAGCCGACGAUCUGUAGCUGGUCUGAGAGGACGACCAGCCAAACUGGGACUGAGACACGGCCCAGACUCCUACGGGAGGCAGCAGUGGGGAAUUUUGGACAAUGGGCGAAAGCCUGAUCCAGCCAUGCCGCGUGCAGGAUGAAGGCCUUCGGGUUGUAAACUGCUUUUGUACGGAACGAAAAGACUCUUUCUAAUAAAGAGGGUCCAUGACGGUACCGUAAGAAUAAGCACCGGCUAACUACGUGCCAGCAGCCGCAGUAACAC
rnacentral:rRNA from 1 species